rnacentral:rRNA from 1 species
UACGAAGGGAGCUAGCGUUGUUCGGAAUCACUGGGCGUAAAGCGCACGUAGGCGGAUGUGUCAGUCAGGGGUGAAAUCCUGGAGCUCAACUCCAGAACUGCCUUUGAUACUGAAGAUCUUGAGUUCGGGAGAGGUGAGUGGAACUGCGAGUGUAGAGGUGAAAUUCGUAGAUAUUCGCAAGAACACCAGUGGCGAAGGCGGCUCACUGGCCCGGUACUGACGCUGAGGUGCGAAAGCGUGGGGAGCAAACAGG